rnacentral:ncRNA from 1 species
AAAGUCCAUAUAAGUCAAGGUUUAACCAACCAACUUUAUCGAGUGUUGCGCUAUGUCUGGUGACAGUCAUGGUGAAGUGUACACAGAGAAUCAUAUAGACCACAGGGGAACCGUAUCCCUGAAGUAUAUUCAGCCUCGUUAACCGUGUCCCCUCGAAAGAGGGUAAAGCAGAUGACGACGUAUUUAACGUUACGGAAGUCAAUACAAAAGAAUCGCAAAAGGUAAGAUUCUAGAGGGUCUGCCGGGGUCCAAGAACG